UCUACAUAGCUUCCGCACAUUUUGAUUUGUGGACAAGUGACGUCAGUGCGGGACAUUGCAUUGAUCUUUCGAAAAAACAAAUAUACAGAAAAAG
ensembl:ncRNA C17E4.16 ncRNA